ACGUCGGACCAGGCUUCAUUC
rnacentral:miRNA from 1 species